GACGAACGCUGGCGGCGUGCCUAAUACAUGCAAGUUGAGCGAUGAAGCUUGGUGCUUGCCCCAAUUUGAAGAGCAGCGAACGGGUGAGUAACGCGUGGGGAAUCUGCCUUUGAGCGGGGGACAACAUUUGGAAACGAAUGCUAAUACCGCAUAAUAACUUUAAACAUAAGUUUUAAGUUUGAAAGAUGCAAUUGCAUCACUCAAAGAUGAUCCCGCGUUGUAUUAGCUAGUUGGUGAGGUAAAGGCUCACCAAGGCGAUGAUACAUAGCCGACCUGAGAGGGUGAUCGGCCACAUUGGGACUGAGACACGGCCCAAACUCCUACGGGAGGCAGCAGUAGGGAAUCUUCGGCAAUGGACGAAAGUCUGACCGAGCAACGCCGCGUGAGUGAAGAAGGGUGUCGGAUCGUAAAACUCUGUUGGUAGAGAAGAACGUUGGUGAGAGUGGAAAGCUCAUCAAGUGACGGUAACUACCCAGAAAGGGACGGCUAACUACGUG
rnacentral:rRNA from 1 species